rnacentral:rRNA from 1 species
AGCUUGACUGCGAGCGUGACGGCGCGAGCAGGUGCGAAAGCAGGUCAUAGUGAUCCGGUGGUUCUGAAUGGAAGGGCCAUCGCUCAACGGAUAAAAGGUACUCCGGGGAUAACAGGCUGAUACCGCCCAAGAGUUCAUAUCGACGGCGGUGUUUGGCACCUCGAUGUCGGCUCAUCACAUCCUGGGGCUGAAGUAGGUCCCAAGGGUAUGGCUGUUCGCCAUUUAAAGUGGUACGCGAGCUGGGUUUAGAACGUCGUGAGACAGUUCGGUCCCUAUCUGCCGUGGGCGCUGGAGAACUGAGGGGGGCUGCUCCUAGUACGAGAGGACCGGAGUGGACGCAUCACUGGUGUUCGGGUUGUCAUGCCAAUGGCACUGCCCGGUAGCUAAAUGCGGAAGAGAUAAGUGCUGAAAGCAUCUAAGCACGAAACUUGCCCCGAGAUGAGUUCUCCCUGACUCCUUGAGAGUCCUGAAGGAACGUUGAAGACGACGACGUUGAUAGGCCGGGUGUGUAAGCGCAGCG